CGCUCUGCCUCCUUCCCGUCCGCUCCGCUUCUCUGCUUGUCAUCAACACUGUCCUCUUGUUCAAAAGAGAGCCUCACCUGGGUAUGGCCAGCUUUCAGCUGAAACUGUGCUCGAAAAUCUGAGACAGUGCUCAGAAAGCUACAGUCCGAUUGAUUCUCAAUAUGAAUGAACAGGGAGAAAACAGAGAAGUUCACUCAUUGUCUUGAAGAUGCUCCCCAGAAAAGUUUGAUGACAAGCAGAAGAUUUAUUACAGUUCUCCCUUGCCGCACUGAAGUGGAUGAUUUCCAUCUGCCCACUCCAAGAGUUCCAGAAACGGGAAUAGCUCUAGUAAAGAGUCCCAAAAGGUCUGAAAGGAUGUGAUGAGUUGUGCCCUAGAUGUAUUUCUUUAUUUCAAAUGACCAUGAAGAAAACCAGAAAUGAGCAGCUGAAAACCAGAAAAAAUUGUAUUAAACAGUUCCUCUUUUUACAAGUUUACAAGUCUGAAGGAUUUCUCCCUCAAGUGGUGCACAAAAAACAUGAAGCUGUCAUGUUCUAUUGGAAAUAUAUAUACCUCAAUUUUAAAAGACCUGAAUCAUUCACUCAAAUCUUUACUGCAAUAUAUCACAGGAAUUGAAGAAACACUGUAUUCCAGGCAAGUAUUCCAGGCUCACAUUCCAGAUUCAGUCACAGCAGGGUAUACUAUUGUCACCUAAGGACAGAAUCCUCCUGAGUUCAGUGGGGAGCAACAUGCAAAGAAGAACUAAUUAAAUACCUCCAGUUUGAUGCAGCAAAUUAGCAAGAAAACACCUCUCCAAUAAUUGUCGAAGUAGACACGUGACUCAUUCAAAACUCACAGUUUUGGGCUACACUGGUAGAUGUUUCCCAUGGAAACUAAAAACCAUAUAGACUAUUAUAUCUUGACUUUCUAUGUCUUUAGGACAGGUUCCCUACAGUUUCCUUUCUGUAAAAAGGAAAGUAUAUUCCAGACACCCUGUGUGUGACUCUUGAAGCCUUUCUUCAACAGUGACAAAAUGGUACUAUUACUUAGCAGUUGCAUAGAUUUUUCAUGUGACCAUUUCCAAGAAGUUUUUGGAGAUGGAAAGACUCAGGCAACAUAGAAAGAAACUGUAUGUUGAAUGUAAAAAAUAAAUGGACUACUCCAAAUUGAAUACUUUAAAAUGAAGAGCUUUCUUUAGAUUGAAAACGGGAAGCAAAUUUUUCUUUUAUAAUCUGAUCCUGUCACUCAUUUUUGUACUGAUUAGGCUUAUUUUAAAAUAACUUGGUAAAUUAGGAAAUGGGAGGUAAUUUACCCAAUUCUGAAAAAAAAAAAAAAUCUUCAGCAAAAUCCAUAGGUUUUUAGAAUGGUUUAAAUCUCCUAAAUUGUCAUAGAGCCCUCUAACAUAAUGUAAUUUGUCACUAUGAAGGGAUUUAGGUUACUCAAAGUCAUUAUAUUUUAUUUUAAGAGGGUGAAAAAUAUCACCUUUGUGAUGGUAAGGUGAUAAAGAAGGUAGGAAAACAUAAUGAAAGAGCUCUCAAAAACUAUAAUGUUCAUGAAAGGGUUUUUGCUGUUAAAAUACACAGGUUGAAUUGAGUUUUGUUAUUUUGUCAGGAAUGCCCUGGGCUAGGAGGACUGAAAUGAAAAGGGGGAUUUGAUGUCAUUUCUAAUGAACAUAAAACAUGAUUUGUUUUUUUUUUAUUUGUAAAAAUUAAGAGCAAUUAUUUUUUGCCUUACAGAGCACUGAAGAAAGUGCUGCAUUUUCUCACAAUUUUAUUUCUAACAACCAUGAAAUACUAUCUUUUAAGAAAAUCACAACCUGCUUUUCCUUUCUUUCUUCCUUUCCAUAGUUACCAUGACAACCAUAGAAUUUUGGUAGGGAUAAAACAUUUGACAAGCACAUUGUCUUUCUGCUUUUAAAGUCUUCAUAGCUAUAUAGAUGAUCAGACAGGCAUUAUUAAAUAAGGCCAAGCAUUACCCAAGCGUGAGAGCUACACAAAUAACCUGAACAGGUCAGGAAAAACGGUGUUUAGUGUCAAGACCAGGAUAUAAAACAACAACAGAAUUUGUCAUUGCAGUAACAAACAUUAAAAUUGUGAUUUACUUUUUUAUGUGAGCAGUGGGUAUGGAAGGAUAUUUUCAGCUAGGGGGAAAAGACCUGAUACAAAUAGGAGAAAGUGUCCAAAGAACAGCUCAACAUCCAGCCCAGUGCAGUAUCAGUCCAACUUCUCAAAUCAGAGAAGUUUAAAGAGUAGUACAAAACCCAAACAUUCCCUGAGGAUCCUCAUCUUGUUUUAGAUCACCAAGACAUCAGAAAUGCUGGACACCAAUACAUCUUUUCCUAGAUAUUAAAACUAGUAAACAGCUUUUGGUAAGACUAAGGAAAGACCUUUUAAAUUCUUGGCAGUGUAAUUCAAAUUGAAAAUACGGUACAUCUGAAAAGGGUUUCAUUCUGAUUUGGAACUAAAACUAAACCUCAAAAACACCACCUAGAAACGAAAUGGGGAAAACAUACAGUUUUGAUCAUUUUUGCUUAGCUAAAUGAAAAAAACGUAGUACUGCAGUAAAA